rnacentral:rRNA from 1 species
GACGAACGCUGGCGGCGUGCCUAACACAUGCAAGUCGAACGAGUGGCGAACGGGUGAGUAACACGUGGCUGAGCUGCCUUGCACUUUGGGAUAAGCAUGGGAAACUGGGUCUAAUACCGCAUAGUGCAAGAUGAGCUUGGGGACUAUCAGCUUGUUGGUGGGGUAACGGCUACCAAGGCGCGACGGGUAGCCGGCCGGAGAGGGUGUACGGCCACAUUGGGACUGAGACACGGCCCAGACGCCUACGGGAGGCAGCAGUGGGGAAUAUUGCACAAUGGGCGCAAGCCUGAUGCAGCCAUGCCGCGUGUAUGAAGAAGGCCUUCGGGUUGUAAAGUACUUUCAGCGAGGAAGCGUUACUCGCAGAAGAAGCACCGGCUAACUCCGUGCCAGCAGCCGCGGUAAUUC